rnacentral:rRNA from 1 species
UACGGAGGGGGCAAGCGUUGUUCGGAAUUACUGGGCGUAAAGGGCGCGCAGGCGGCUGCUCAAGUCAGGCGUGAAAGGCCUGGGCUCAACCCGGGAAUUGCGCUUGAGACUGGGCUGGCUUGAGUGCGGGAGAGGAUGGUGGAAUUCCCAGUGUAGAGGUGAAGUUCGUAGAUAUUGGGAAGAACACCGGUGGCGAAGGCGGCCAUCUGGACCGCAACUGACGCUGAGGCGCGAAAGCGUGGGGAGCAAACAGG